GGGCCCGCACAAGCGGUGGAGUAUGUGGUUUAAUUCGAUGCAACGCGAAAAACCUUACCUACCCUUGACAUGUCAGGAAUUUUGCAGAGAUGCGAAAGUGCUCGAAAGAGAACCUGAACACAGGUGCUGCAUGGCUGUCGUCAGCUCGUGUCGUGAGAUGUUGGGUUAAGUCCCGCAACGAGCGCAACCCUUGUCAUUAGUUGCUACGCAAGGGCACUCUAAUGAGACUGCCGGUGACAAACCGGAGGAAGGUGGGGACGACGUCAAGUCCUCAUGGCCCUUAUGGGUAGGGCUUCACACGUCAUACAAUGGUUGGUACAGAGGGUUGCGAACCCGCGAGGGGAAGCUAAUCCCAAAAAACCAAUCGUAGUCCGGAUUGCAGUCUGCAACUCGACUGCAUGAAGUCGGAAUCGCUAGUAAUCGC
rnacentral:rRNA from 1 species